AUUAUACUCCCUCCAUCCCAAAAUUCUUGUCUUAGAUUCGUCUAAAUACAGAUGUAUCAAGUCACGUUUUAGUAUUAGAUACAUCCGUACCUAGGCAAAUCUAAGACAAGAAUUUUGGGACGGAGGGAGUAUCAA
rfam:Triticum aestivum genome assembly, contig: Triticum_aestivum_CS42_TGACv1_scaffold_221395_3B